rnacentral:rRNA from 1 species
CCUACGGGGUGCAGCAGUGGGGAAUAUUUGGCAAUGGGCGCAAGCCUGACCCAGCAACGCCGCGUGAAGGAAGAAGGCUUUCGGGUUGUAAACUUCUUUUAAGAGGGAAGAGCAGAAGACGGUACCUCUUGAAUAAGCCACGGCUAACUACGUGCCAGCAGCCGCGGUAAUACGUAGGUGGCUAGCGUUGUCCGGAUUUACUGGGUGUACAGGGCGUGUAGCCGGGCUGACAAGUCAGAUGUGAAAUUCCGGGGCUCAACCCCGGACCUGCAUUUGAAACUGUUGGUCUUGAGUAUCGGAGAGGCAGGCGGAAUUCCUAGUGUAGCGGUGAAAUGCGUAGAUAUUAGGAGGAACACCAGUGGCGAAGGCGGCCUGCUGGACGACAACUGACGGUGAGGCGCGAAAGCGUGGGGAGCAAACAGGAUUAGAUACCCGGGUAGUC